UCCCGCUGCGACCUCUCCCUUCCCUCGUCUCCCGCUCCACCGCCGCCGCCCCAUCUCCCGCUCCACCGCCGCCGCCCCAUCUCCCGUCUCCAGUCGCAGCCGCCGCCGCACCCCAAUCCAACCCCGCCGCCGGCGAUCUCCUCGCCCCCCUUUGCCGCCGCCCCCAACCUUCUAUUCCUCUCCCAAAGGAAUCCCAAGGGAAGGGAAGGGAAGGGAAGGAAGAGGGAGCGCCCAGAUCCACGGCGGCAUCAGCGCGCCGUCGUCGACCUGAUCCACGUCCGUCCUCGAGGGAGGUCGGCCAUGGAGGUCCGACCUGGCCCGGCAACAGCCAUGGACGGACGGAGACGCCCCAAACCCUACCCUCAAGGACGACGCCUCAACCUUCAAGGACGCGCGCCGGCGACCGCGGAUCUCCGGUGACGGCUAUGGAUGACUGCCCCGGAUCUGGACGCACGACCUGCAGCUGCAGCAGCAGCUGGACGACCGAACGCACGAGCCCUCCCUCCCUCCCUCAUGGCUAUGCUUCCUCUACCCUGCCCCCUCACGUGGGCGUGGUCCCACAAAUAGAAGCGUUGCUCAUAUGCUCCUGAAUCAGGUGAGCAGUAUGAUGGAGUUUACAGAAUUGAGAACUGUUAGAUAAAGAUUGGUGUUCAGGUAAUUUUACUUCCUGUACAGAGGUUCCACAUGCUGCUCGCUACUUUGUGCCACUGAAUGAAAGAUCAAUGUAUAUUCUUUUGAGUUCUGUCACAGGGUACGUAUAAGGUCUUGAUGUUAAACUGAUGUAUUUUUUAUUGCUUACUAAACCCUCCUAAGUCCUAACUCAAUCACUUGAAGUUAAACUAAAGUAUUAAUCAAUCUUGUUUGCUUUCUUGUACGUGUAUGCCUACUUACCUUGCCCUAUAUGGCGAUCAAUGGCCAGCCAUAGAACGGUUCUGAUUUUUUUAUUUUGUCAAGUUCAGUUCAUAUUUUUUAUCCAUGUGGUGUUUAAACGAUGACUAUGUAGAGUUCAUAGAAAUUGUGAGGCAUAGAAUUGAUUCAAUCUUCAUUUUUUUCCAAUUUGGUUCGGAGCCAUUACCUGCUACACCUACAGAUGUGAAAAGCUUACACUUUGCAAAUCCAAAAUUAAGCAGCAUAAUUUCUCACAGAUUAUAUAUAAAUUGAGUGACAACUGCUGGGACAUGUGCUUCUUUUGACCUAUUAUCUUGCUUUUGCAUGAUUAAUUGAAGGUCCAUAAGGCAGUUCUAUCUCUCUCGCUUACACAAUAAGUUUCUCUUUAACAAAAAAAAUAAACAUAGGGCAGGAGCAUAGAUGGUGCACAGGAGAGCUGCCUUGUCAUUGAUAGAGGAAGUUUGAGAGCAUGCUAAUUGAGCAGGGAAGAGAAAUAAAAUGAAAACGAAAAUGAGAAACAAAAGAGAAGAAUGUUAUGAUCUCAUGAUAAUGUCGGCCACCAGCCAGCGCCCACAGGAGUAUACCUAUAGGCGGUCCAAAGGUUAUCUAGGUUGGUAAAAAGCAAGGCCGCCUCAUAGUUGAGGAAGAUGAUGUGCAACCGAUGAAGAAGAUAUAUUAGGAUGGAACUUGAGGCAUUUUGUGGAUUAGUAUCUAUAGUUUUUUUAUGCCUAUAAAGCAGAGGUCUGUGUGACAAAACAGAAGUAUCCAUGAAUUACUACUUUAUAAGAUUUAGGUUCCACUAUAAUGUUGUUGAUGAUAGCCAAGCCGCCGCCUCUCCGCCGAGAAAGAAGGAUCCCGAUCUCCGUCGUGGUCGACAAACAGCGCGACGGGCGGAGCACCCAGCCCAUAGGCUCAUCCCCUUCUCCGAUCCACUCCGGCGGCGGCCAUCGUUGGUACGUUGCGCUUGUGUCACCUCUCAUGAUUUUUUUUUCUGGUUUGAUUCCCCACUCACGGGUGUGUGGUAUGCAGUCAAGGCAUCGGUUCAUGUGGUUUCCUGCUGCUGGCAUAUGUAGGUUUACCGCUGGAUUCAAGUCUAGAAAUGUUUUAUUUUCUUAAAAUUGAUUUAUCAUAUGCUUCCAUGAUUUCAUCGGGAAAGAGAUGCAGACGAGAGGAAGAGAGCCUCCCCCAAGCUCUGUCUAGGCGAUGCACAAGCGACGGCCACCCUUCCUGUUAUUACCUCCAUGGCUGGCUGCUCAUCCCCAGGAACCUCCUCCCCUCUCACGUGCGCCACACUCUGGGAUUAAGUUGGAACACAGGUAUCUAGGGCAGGGCGCGGUCACAUUGCAGGCAGCAAGGAGCAGCACAAAGUUGUCUCGGUUGUGCCCUGCAUCGAGGAGGAACACAGGUAUUUACAAACCGAGGAGGAAAACAUGUAGUUUUCUGUUUGUUAUUUUGUAACUUUAUGCUUCACCUAUCCUGAAUUAUACGUAUACUCAUGUUGCCAGAUACAUAGGUAUACAGAUACAUAGCUAUGGAAGAUAUGAUUUACUGAUACAUAUCUAAAUGUUAUAGCUAUAAAGAUACCUGAUUGUUAUAGCUGAAUGUAACAAAGAAAGUGGUAUGGAUGAAUGGUGUCGUUUCUUUACCCAUGCUGUGGUUGAAAUCAUUGUUUGGUUCCCAGGUUGAACAAAUCCGGCAUCUGUAAAUCAUCGAUGUUUUUCUGGAAGUAGUACAGUAGGUUUAAGAUUGGGCAAUGAUUCGUUCAUUCAACUACUUAUAAUUUGGGUUUCUAUAGUUUCAAGAGGCUAACAAUUCCACCUUGGGUGUCUUAUCUCUAAGAUUCUAACUAUCAAAUAACAUUGCUUUGAAGUGUAGAUGUUCCGGGAUUGCUAGCUCCUGCCAGGUGAUCAGAAUUACUGCUUUGUUUAUUACUCAACAAUGUCGGACACUGGUUUCUCUAAAUAUCUUUUACAAGUACAGUUUCUACUUUUUUCUGCAGAAAUACUACAUGGUAGUCUUGAAGUAAAUACCAAUCAUGUGAUCCGAUAUGUUGUUUCAGAACAAUAGACCAUCAAUAUUAUUUUCGCCUCGGGUUCUAGAGGAGGACAGCUAAUUAAGAGAAAACUUCGGUGGGAUAGAGACAAAAAUUUGCUAUAUUUCACAAUACCCAAACAGAAUUUCAUUGUUGAUUCUUCUGCCCUGAACUUUGCCCAUACCAAUUACAUUUUGUAGACCCUUUUUAAGGAAACUGCUUCGUUUACACCAUCCCAUUGACAUGUCUAUUAGCAGUAAUGAGACUUAAACGAACACUUCUAGGCUAGAUAUUAUUAAGGUGUUGUGUAUGUUGGUCCUUUUUAUAGAUCUUGCCAUCUUUGUUUGCAAGGUGACCAGUCAUUUAAAGUAUUUGAGAAUCCUGAAGGGAAGCACAUGGCAAAGCCAUAAUUACCUUUUAGUUAUAUUUCAAGUUGUAGGAAAGUUGGAAUCAAUUUGGAAAGCAUCUUUCUAUUGCAGAUAUUUUAUUAGUGGCUUGAAGACUUACACUCCGUUUGAUGUUAUAGAAAUAGUGAGGUUAUGCCACAAUGCUGAUAGACUUGGUACUUGUAGGAUGGAGAGGAGAAGACUGAAAAGGAUGUUGAUAUGAGGAAUUCAAGGAAGUGGAAGAGGAAGAAAGUUUUGAUGAUGGUGAUAAUUAGAAUAUCAAGUUUGACGACGAUGAUGAUUGGAACCAAGAGGAGGAAGUACGUUAGUUUCCAUCUAUUCAUAUGGAUGUUACCCUCGAUGUACUGUGACCAAAUAUCUGCCGCUAAAACCCACCAAAGAAUUAGCAAGAAAAUUGAUUGUGGGAGCUAGCAAUGCCGGCAGUGCCUCCUUUAGGAUUACAAAAUCGUUAAUUCUAUCUUCGCUUGCAUGUGACUGAUGGUGAUGCUACACAAAUUCUGAAGGCAGUGCCCUCCCCUUCAGUAGGAGAUCUUGCUGGUUCUGCAUGGCACAAUUGGAUUAAAUAUGCUACAGCAAGCGAAGGAGUUAAACGAUGUUGUUGGAAACAAAGGAUUCAUCCUAAUGAAAUUAGACGGGACUGCUCGUGUUGGCUAUGUGGUGAGUGUUCAUAGACGAACAUGGAGUUCCAGCCAAGUUUGUUGGCGUCGGUGAAGGGGUGGAAGAUCUCCAACCUUUUGAUGCAGAAGCAUUUGUUGAAGCCAUUUUCCCAUAAAUUUUACCCAGUUAUUAGUGUUUCUCAUGUAACAAGAUUUUGGCUAACAUGCUACUCCCUCCGUUUCUAGAUAUAUGUCUUUUAGGAAUUCUAAUAUGGACUACUCCCUCCGUUCCUAAAUAUUUGUCUUUCUCGACAUUUCAACAAGUGACUACAUACGGAGUAAAAUGAGUGAAUAUACACUCUAAAAUAUGUCUACAUACAUCCGUAUGUGGUAGUCAUUUGAAAUGUCUAGAAAGAAAAAUAUUUAGAAACGGAGGGAGUACAUAUGAAGAAAAAUGAGUGAAUCUAUGUCUACAUUCAUCCGUAUGUAGUCCAUAUUCAAAUCACUAAAAAGACCUAUAUUUAGGAAUGGAGGGAGUAGAACUUGGUAGAAGCAAUUUUUUCAACAAUUACAGAUUUUUUGGUUCAGUCGUCGACUCGUUUGCCUGACUUGUUUCUGUUGUUGACUGAUACACGUUCAUUUUGCAUUAUGCUUUUAUAUCGAUAUUUAUCACAUUAUGGGCUAUUAUUUCACGUUAUGUCACAAUACUUAUGGCUAUUCUCUCUUAUUUUACAAGGUUUACAUGAAGAAGGAGAAUG